rnacentral:rRNA from 1 species
GGGGAAUAUUGGACAAUGGGCGCAAGCCUGAUCCAGCCAUACCGCGUGGGUGAAGAAGGCCUUCGGGUUGUAAAGCCCUUUUGUUGGGAAAGAAAUCCAGCCGGCUAAUACCUGGUUGGGAUGACGGUACCCAAAGAAUAAGCACCGGCUAACUUCGUGCCAGCAGCCGCGGUAAUACGAAGGGUGCAAGCGUUACUCGGAAUUACUGGGCGUAAAGCGUGCGUAGGUGGUCGUUUAAGUCCGUUGUGAAAGCCCUGGGCUCAACCUGGGAACUGCAGUGGAUACUGGGCGACUAGAGUGUGGUAGAGGGUAGCGGAAUUCCUGGUGUAGCAGUGAAAUGCGUAGAGAUCAGGAGGAACAUCCAUGGCGUAGGCAGCUUACUAAGCCAUAACUGACGCUCAUGCACGAAAGCGUGGGGAUCAAACA